rnacentral:lncRNA from 1 species
CAGAAUAAAUAAGAAAAGUAAAAUUACAUUAGAGAACUAAAAUUACAACCAAGGAGAGCAUGAUUCAGACUUCCUGUCUGAAACAUGAAAUAAACCAAUCUCCAAAGAUCAUAUUCCAAAGCCUUUAUCUUAUUUGGGAUGUGUUAGAGUUCCUAAGAGUUCGAAAUGGACUCCGCACAGUGCUCACGCCCAAAUGUAUUAUAGAAUUGAAUCAUACUGCAAUGCAGAAGAGCCAGCCCUUGAAUGUCUAAGUUCAGAGGGAACUUAAGGUCCCAAAGCAACACUCAUAGGAGGGGACAGAACUUAGAAGCUAGGAGAGAGUGUAAGUGCAAAGAGGGAAUUCUGGGGGAAGCAGAGAUAGGCUGGUGGUCAUACCCAGCAAUUAGAUGUUCUGGCACACCCCAACCAGCAUGUUAGCCAUAUUGUUUGGGAGUUAGAAUCUAUUAUAGGAUCAAGUCCAGACAUGAGCAACUACUUGGAUGUUGCCAUGUUCUAAACUUUAACUCAAACACAUGGAAGGGAAUAAGGGUACAUAGAUGCACAUCAGAAACAGAUGCAAAGAGAACAUCAUACAUAUUUAACACUGAGCAUAGAUAGCAAAGUAGACGGGAUUGCAGAAGUUUUAACAUAAACAGAUUAGGAUGAGGCUGAAAACUAAAUUAGAACAUACCAGUUUCAGGGAAACAAGAAAAGAAAGUAGUAGUCUUGUAAAUCCAAAUAGCAAGCAAAUAAUCAGAAGAUUUUAGAAGAGAGCUACGAGAUUAUGUGUGUAAAAGUGUUUAAUUGAGAGUUGUGUAAUUGAAAGUGUCUGAAAAGAGUCAAAUUCAAGGUGUGUUGGUGAGAAAGAAGUUGUGUCCUUUUUAUAGUGUAGAAGGCAAGCAGAAUAAGGUAGGAUAAUAAUUUAAAAAAUCAGUUGUCAAUCAAUUACACAAGUUUCCCUUUAGUUAAGGGAUUCUGAUUUCAAAUGGGCAAAAUAGUUAAGGAAAGAGGUUGAUCAAACACUUUUCCAAAGCAACACAAGAAGGGUAAAUACACAGAGAUUUAUUUAUGGAAGAAGUCUGAUAGCACACAGUUUGUGCAAAUAAGGAAAGACAAUCAAUCAACAACCAGUAAAAUCAAAAAUUGAAGAUUUCAUGUGAAUCAACAAGGUCAGGAAGAUGGGAAAGAUCUUGACUUAAGGAAAAUCAGUACUAAUAAAUUAAAUCUAAGAAAAAGGAUUCUGAAUCUUAAGCACGAAAAACUAUUGUGCUAAUCAGUAGAAGAAUAUAAAAGUUCAGAGUCGUAAACAAAGAGAUUCAAACUCAGCUCAUAGACUCAGAAUGAGUCUGCAAGAGUUCCAAAAUAGAACCCUGGUCCAAGCACAAGGAAAAACCCCUAAAUCCUAGUAUUUCCAUUUUGAAUCAGAUACAGAGACAAUGAGACAAGUAAUUGAAACAUGCUCAAAGAUCUUUUUCAGAGACUUAUGAGGAAACAAACAAAUAUAAUAGUAGGUUUGAAACAACAGAGUGAAUAAACUCAUUCGAAGCAUAGCGAGAGUAGGAGGCACAUGUUUAAGAAAAAGCUGGGACUUAAACAGGGUUCAGAAGAGAAAAGAGAUAGUGUAGCAUUUAAGAAAACACUAGAAGAAACAUGUUAAAGGGAACUCAAAUAAAGGUCCAGUAAAUGGCAAACAAAGAACUUAAGAACUCAGUAGGGAAACAUACAGUAGGAGAACAAAAACUACGGGAAAAGUAUAUCAACAAGACAUAUCGGAAAAACACAAC